CAGUAGCCGCGGUAAUACAGAGGGUGCGAGCGUUAAUCGGAUUUACUGGGCGUAAAGCGUGCGUAGGCGGCUUCUUAAGUCGGAUGUGAAAUCCCUGAGCUUAACUUAGGAAUUGCAUUCGAUACUGGGAAGCUAGAGUAUGGGAGAGGAUGGUAGAAUUCCAGGUGGAGCGGUGAAAUGCGUUGAGAUCGGAAAGAACACCAACGGCGAAAGCACUCUGCUGGGCCGACACUGACACUGAGAGACGAAAGCUAGGGGAGCAAAUGGGAUUAGAUACCCCAGUAGUCCCUGUCUCUUAUAC
rnacentral:rRNA from 1 species